GGUCAAGUUAUUAAGGGUGCAGGGCGGAUGCCUUGGCACUAGGAGCCGAUGAAGGACGUGAUAAGCUGCGAUAAGCUUCGGGGAGUUGCACGUAAACUUUGAUCCGAAGAUUUCCGAAUGAGGAAACUCACUUAGAGUAAUGUCUAAGUAUCAUUAAGUGAAUACAUAGCUUAAUGAGGGGAACUCAGGGAACUGAAACAUCUAAGUACCUGAAGGAAGAGAAAGAAAUUCGAUUCCGUAAGUAGCGGCGAGCGAACGCGGAUUAGCCCAAACCAAUAAAGUUUUCUUUAUUGGGGUUGCGGACAUAUCAUAACGAAGAGGUAUCGUAAUUGAAGAGGUUUGGAAAGACCCACCACAGAAGGUAAUAGUCCUGUAUGUUAAACGAGAAGACUUUAGAUAUGAUCCAGAGUACCACGGGACACGUGAAACCCUGUGGGAAGCAGGAGGGACCACCCUCCAAGGCUAAAUACUACCUAGUGACCGAUAGCGUAUAGUACCGUGAGGGAAAGGUGAAAAGAACCCCGGGAGGGGAGUGAAAUAGAACCUGAAACCCUGCACUUACAAGCUGUGGAAGCACAUUUCUUGUGUGACCGCGUACUUUUUGUAGAACGGGCCAACGAGUUACGUUAAGUAGCAAGGUUAAGCACUUAAGGUGCGGAGCCGUAGCGAAAGCGAGUUUUAACUGAGCGUUCAGUUACUUGACGUAGACCCGAAACCGGGCGACCUACCCAUGAGCAGGAUGAAGCGAAAGUAAAAUUUCGUGGAGGUCCGAACCCACGAGCGUUGAAAAGCUCGGGGAUGACUUGUGGGUAGCGGUGAAAUUCCAAUCGAGCCCGGAGAUAGCUGGUUCUCCCCGAAAUAGCUUUAGGGCUAGCCUCAAGGUGAGAGAUACGGAGGUAGAGCACUGAAUGUCCUAGGGGGUAUUGCACCUACCGAAGACUAUCAAACUCCGAAUGCCGUCAUCUUAUACUUGGGAGUCAGACUGUGGGUGAUAAGAUUCAUAGUCGAAAGGGCAACAGCCCAGAUCGUCAGCUAAGGUCCCUAAAUGUAAGUUAAGUGGUAAAGGAUGUGGGAUUGCACAGACAACCAGGAUGUUGGCUUAGAAGCAGCCACUCAUUCAAAGAGUGCGUAAUAGCUCACUGGUCGAGUGAUCCUGCGCCGAAGAUUUCCGGGGCUAAAACUUACUACCGAAGCUACGGCAUCAGUAAUGAUGGGUAGGGGAGCUUCCCAUA
rnacentral:rRNA from 1 species